rnacentral:rRNA from 1 species
GGAUCGUAAAGCUCUGCUGUUGGUGAAGAAGGAUAGAGGUAGUAACUGGCCCCUAUUUGACGGUAAUCAACCAGAAAGUCACGGCUAACUACGUGCCAGCAGCCGCGGUAAUACGUAGGUGGCAAGCGUUGUCCGGAUUUAUUGGGCGUAAAGCGAGCGCAGGCGGAAAGAUAAGUCUGAUGUGAAAGCCCCCGGCUUAACCGAGGAAUUGCAUCGGAAACUGUGUUUCUUGAGUGCAGAAGAGGAGAGUGGAACUCCAUGUGUAGCGGUGGAAUGCGUAGAUAUAUGGAAGAACACCAGUGGCGAAGGCGGCUCUCUGGUCUGUAACUGACGCUGAGGCUCGAAAGCAUGGGUAGCGAACAGGAUUAGAUACCCUGGUAGUCCAUGCCGUAAACGAUGAGUGCUAAGUGUUGGGAGGUUUCCGCCUCUCA